rnacentral:rRNA from 1 species
AUUGAACGCUGGCGGCAGGCCUAACACAUGCAAGUCGAACGAGUGGCGGACGGGUGUGUAAUGUCCGGGAAACUGUCUGAUGGAGGGGGAUCACCACUGGAAACGGUAGCUAACACCGCAUAACAUCAGUUGUGCCCAGAUGGGAUUCGCUAGGUGGUGGGGUAACGGCUCACCAAGGCGACGAUCUCUAGCUGGUCUGAGAGGAUGACCAGCAAGACUGGAACUGAGACACGGUCCAGACUCCUACGGGAGGCAGCAGUGGGGAAUAUUGCACAAUGGGCGCAAGCCUGAUGCAGCCAUGCCGCGAGUAUGAAGAAGGCCUUCGGGGUGUAAAGUACUUUCAGCGGGGAGGCGUUACCCGCAGAAGAAGCACCGGCUAACUCCGUGCCAGCAGCCGCGGUAAUUC